GAUCCUGGCUCAGAACGAACGCUGGCGGCAUGGAUUAGGCAUGCAAGUUGAACGAACUCCUUCGGGAGUGAGUAGCGGAAGGGUGAGGAACGCGUGAGUAAUCUGCCCCCCAGUUGGGAAUAACAGUUGGAAACGACUGCUAAUACCGAAUGUGGCUUAAGCUUCGCCUGGAGCUUUGGCUAAAGAUUUAUCGCUGGGGGAUGAGCUCGCGUCCCAUUAGGUAGUUGGUGAGGUAACGGCUCACCAAGCCGACGAUGGGUAGCUGGUCUGAGAGGAUGGUCAGCCACACUGGGACUGAGACACUGCCCAGACUCCUACGGGAGGCUGCAGUCGAGAAUCUUGGGCAAUGCGCGAAAGCGUGACCCAGCAAUGCCGCGUGUAUGAUGAAGGCCCUCGGGUCGUAAAGUACUGUCUCCCGUGACGAAAUUUGACGGUAGCGGGGAAGGAAGCCACGGCUAACUACGUGCCAGCCGCCGC
rnacentral:rRNA from 1 species